CUUUUGAGAGAGAGAGCCAGAGUGCAAACAGGAGAGGGGCAGAAAGAGAGGGAGACACAGAAUCCGAAGCAGGCUCCAGGCUGUGAGUCAUCAGCACAGAGCCCGACGCGGGGCUUGGACCCACGAACCAUGAGAUCGUGACCUGAGCCGAAGUCAGACACUCAACUGACUGAGCCACCCAGGCGCCCCAGCUCCUGGGUGUUUCUUGCUGUCAGGCCUGAAGAAGGCAUCGGGCCAUCCCUGCUCCCAGAUUUCUGAAAAGCCCCUGAGUGGUGCGUCUGUGAAAUACCAGGGCGUAGGAGGUCAGACCACCCAGAAAUGCCACUCCUGGCCCACCCUACCACUCUGUUCAGUUGUUGGAGACCUCAUACCUCCCUCCAGCCCCGGCUGCCUCUGAGGGGAUUGCUGACCACCCCACCCCCUACGAGACUUGUUGGGUUGCCUCGAAGGCUUGGGCCCACCCGCGUGACUUCUGCAGGCCUGCCUGGUGCUCAGCACACAUCCUCUUCACUGAUCCUGGAGGCUGCUGAAAGGGGCUCUUUUCCAUCCUCGACUCUGGAAGUUCUCAUACACACCUGGCCCACUGUGCCUGGAUCUCCAAAUUUUGUUCAAAUUUCGUUCAACUGCCCACGAUGGGGAAGGGGGGGAGUCCAUAGUGACUCAUUUUCCCCAUCUGCUGAGAUGGCCUUUGACAAAUGAAGCCCAGCCAGAUGCUCCUGUGGGACCGAGAGACUGUCCACCUCAGAAGCGAGACCUUGGCUUCCAGGCCAGGAACACCUCCCAUGUGGAUCUUCAGACUCUCAUCCACCACUACCGUGAUGCAAUUCUAACCACCUGGAAUGAGCAUGGAGUCCAC